UACGUAGGUGGCAAGCGUUGUCCGGAAUUACUGGGUGUAAAGCGCGUGUAGGCGGCAGGCCAAGUCUGCGGUGAAAGCGCCCGGCUCAACUGGGCGAGGUCCGUGGAAACUGGUCAGCUGGAGGACGGUAGAGGCGAGUGGAAUUCCCGGUGUAGUGGUGAAAUGCGUAGAGAUCGGGAGGAACACCUGUGGCGAAGGCGGCUCGCUGGGCCGAUACUGACGCUGAGGAGCGAAAGCGUGGGGAGCGAACAGG
rnacentral:rRNA from 1 species